AAUGAACGCUGGCGGCAGGCCUAACACAUGCAAGUCGAACGAGGCAGCAAUGCCUAGUGGCGGACGGGUGAGUAACGCGUGGGAACGUGCCCCUUGGUACGGAAUAGCCCUGGGAAACUGGGAGUAAUACCGUAUGUGGUCGAGAGACGAAAGAUUUAUCGCCAAGGGAUCGGCCCGCGUUGGAUUAGGUAGUUGGUGGGGUAAUGGCCUACCAAGCCGACGAUCCAUAGCUGGUUUGAGAGGAUGGUCAGCCACACUGGGACUGAGACACGGCCCAGACUCCUACGGGAGGCAGCAGUGGGGAAUCUUAGACAAUGGGGGAAACCCUGAUCUAGCCAUGCCGCGUGAUCGAUGAAGGCCUUAGGGUUGUAAAGAUCUUUCAGUGGGGAAGAUAAUGGCGGUACCCACAGAAGAAGCCCCGGCUAACUCCGUGCCAGCCGCCGCGGUAA
rnacentral:rRNA from 1 species